GGGGUACAAGGCCAAUGCAGGGGGUGCGGGGAUGGGGGGUAGCACAGGGGUGCGGGGACAGCACUGGGGCGUCGGGACCUGGAAUAGGCUUCUCCUCCGGAGGCCACGCCCACAGCCCUGUGAACAGAGGCCCCCCCGGCCCUCACUUUCCUCCAGUCCAGAAUCUCUGCGGCCCCUGGGGUCCCGGGAAAGCCAGGCAGAAGGCACCCUCUUCCUCUGAUUCCAACAUGAGGCCGGCCGGGUUUGGGAACCGCAGUUCGGAGGGCAGCCCCUCCCAAGAGCUUCCCGGCUCCCCAUUGGAAGAGGCGCUUCAGGCACCGAGAAUAAAAACUUUGGACGCUUCCUGUCCUCAGGUCUCCUUUAAAUUCAAAGAGGAGCCGGAAAGGACCAGCGGAUAACAAAUCCUUUCUGCCGCGGGAAGCAUGAGGACAGGAGGGCUGGCGACCACCAGCAGGUCACUGAGCAGCUCUCCACAUCCGGGUCUCGCCGCGCUUCCCUGCAAAACGUUUCUCCUUCCCAAUCAACAGUCCUUCUCCCAUCCUGCAUGGCCGCUGCCAGAACCUCGCAAACAAAUGUGAAGCCGAGUUGCAACACACUUGGAGAUUCACAGUGAGCCAGCAAGUCUGCAAAUAAUUUUCAAGAUGAAAAAUGAAAAUAAUCACACGACUUGGAGUAGGGGUGAGAUUUGACUUAAGCACAAGUUCAGCGAGCCCAGGUUUUCCCCUCGAGGCUCCAAGAGCAGAAGUGUGAUUUGCCUGGUUGGGGUGAGUCCUGAAUCCCUAGUAGCCUAAACUCGUAAAGGGCGUUAGUGCCCUUAAGGAGCCCUUACGGAGCGUGUUCCGAUUGAUUGCUCAGGCCUGCGGAGGCAUCGUGACUGCUCCCAGCCCCGGGUGGAGACGCCGGGCGAAAAGACCCAUCGCGGAGGUGCUGGAACUAAACACCAAUCGUCAGGCAAGGAGCGGGAAGGGCAAAACUAAGGGGAAAUCCUGCUGUCCCCCCAGUACCCCGUGGCCCCCCCCAGGAGCACAGCUCACCCGGGGUUGUGCCAGGAGCCGAAUACACACAAGACGCCAGGGUACAGGGAGGCACGGAGAACGGUGGUCCCAGCCUGGGAAGCUUGGUGCGGUCCUGACGACCAAGCCACACCCCAGGCCAAACGCCUCAGCACCUCGGUCAGGCCCCUACAUCAGCAUUUCUGAGGUUUCCAGAGGGUUCAGUGCAGCCAGGACAGAGCGCCACCAACCACGGUGGAGUCUGGGAGCUGUCGAGGCCCAUCCAUUCUGCACCCCAAGCCACUGCUGCCUGUCCCGGCCUGCACAUCCUCAUGCCUGAGAAGCCUUGGGAAUUCUCACUCCAGCCAGACCCUGCCGCGACUUCUCCAACUGCCACGGCCCCUAGUGGGCCAAGCCUCCAUCCCGGGGCCACACCCGUCCAGGAGCCACACCUCUGUCUCGGGGCCACACCUCCAUCCAGGGGCCACACCUCCAUCCAAGGGUCACGCCUACGUCCUGGGGCCAAGCUGUCCUUUGCCAAGCACAUGACUGGGACUCUUGAUUUGUGCCUUCCUGGUACAGCCAAGCCCAAUUUUGGGGAAACAAAUGCCACCACAACCUCGAGGACAAAGGAAAGGCCACCCACAAGGAAGACCUGACAUCUGGCCGACAGCGGCUCUGCUGCGGCCUCUGGUCACCCACGGGCCACCAUCCCCCCUCCUCGGGCCCGCCACCCCGUCCGGGACCCGGUCCUUUCCUCCGAGAAGAACUCUCUCCUCUGUGGGCUCCUUGCUGAGCCCCAAGCGCCUCUAGCGCCUCCCCGCGACUCAGAGGCCCAAGCAGAGGAAGCAACAGCGGUUCCCUCACAGGACCCCUCCAGGGACACAUCUGUCCUGCUGUUAUCUGACGUAAGGUCCCUGUCCCCAGCUGAAGCACGGACAGUCGGGAGCAGCCGGGGGCUCCAGGCUCCCCAAAGAAGUGGGCGCUCGCGUACUGGGGAUGUGAAAGGGGCCCCACGGAAAGACCCUUCGGGAAAGAGGAGGUCCCCCCGUGGACACGCUCGGCCGUGGCUGGGACUGCCCGCAUCGCCCUGGCCCUGCCCCGUGUCCUCGCCGGCAGCAGCCCCCCCUCCAGCGCCUCGACACAGAGCCCCGGCCAUCAGAAUGAGGAGGACACCGGCGCCCAGGGUGCAGGGACCCCGUGGGGCGGGCGAGGGACACGUCCCCCUUGCCUUGUCACACAGCCGGGGGUGUCAGCUGUGAGGACUCCUCCUCCCCACGCUGCUCCCGCCACGUGCCCGCUCACGAGCGCAGCUCCUCCCGCCCGGUGCUGGAUUUGCUUCACACACUUCAGUCCUCAGCUGUCCUCCUCCUGGAAGUUCCUGGGCGCUUCCCAUUGUGAUUCUAAGCAGCACUGCAGCAGACACCCCUCCCUGAAAACCCCUGAAAACCUGCCUACUCUGCCCCCAGGGGCACUCUAGUCCCCGGUGAAGGCUUGGAAGUGACCCCUGGGCCCUCUGUCCCCGGCCCUGUGUUGCAAACACGGCCCUGGACACUGUUUUGAGGGAUCAGCUCUGCUCGGCCCUGGGCUCUGCGGCAUCUGAGCUGCACAGACUGCAGACUCCAAGGGGGCCCGGGGCUGGCCCACCCCGACCCUCUGGCUCUCCGUCUGGGACCAGGGCUGCUCUGUCCUCCACGACUGGGCCGUCUUCAUGGAAGCCAGACUAUUUUCAACACCACCAACUUCCUUAAACAAAGCCCGGUUUCACAUAUGCCAGAAUUAUGUUCGACAAACAAAACAUGUUUUUAUGAUAUAACUAGAGAGCGUGUUCCAGGACGUGUCAGGCUUGUCAUCGCCAACACCUGGAUCCCAUUUCCAAUACUGGCUAAAAUGUGAACCAUCAACUUGGAGAAUGAAAAAAGCUUUAUUUUUUUUUUUUCACUCUGGGGAGUGGGGGUGGUUCUUGACCGUCCUCAAAGAAUGUCUUUUAAUAUUAUGCACACUUAGAGACACGUUUAUAAAUCCUGGAUCUUAAGCAAUGAAGUGCUUUUGCAAACAUACAAGGAUCCAUUGAACUCGCUCGCUUGCUCUCUCUAUAUAAUUAUAAUAAAUCAAUAAAGUACUUUUUGAAAGCA